UUUUGCCGGUGAGGGGUCUUCUCCGGUAAGGUCGAUUUCUGUUCCGUCGGGUAUUCCUCGAAGUUUAUUCUUGGGUCUGGUGGAUACCAUGGUGGCUGGUGGUUUUGAAUUCGAAAGGUCGAGAAGAGGGGGUGGGAUUAUGGGAAGUUGGAAGUUAGGGAAAUGACGUCGUGGUAGGGGUUUAUAGGGGUUUUUGGGGGGUGAAGGGCUGACAACUGUUACUUGAUGUGACUUGCGUCAGACACUUUCGACCGCGUUCUGCCCGAGAGCCCCCUUUUGCCCUGGAAUCUUUGCUUCUCCAAACGACUGUCCUUUUUGCCCAUAACUUCUUCUCUGCUUCUGCAAAACACACUCAAACUUCCGCAAAGGCGGGAAACUAAAACUCGCCCAAGCUGUGGGCAAAACCAGGCUC
rnacentral:lncRNA from 1 species